AUCGCUUCUCGGCCUUUUGGCUAAGAUCAAAUGUGUAGUAUCUGUUCUUAUCAGCUUAAUAUCUGAUAGGGGCCCAUGUGGGUCUCAAGAUAUUAGUUUAUUUUUGCAAGCGGGUGCCUGGACGGGGCUUGCCCCUCCGGUGCCACGGGUCGUCCCGGCAUUGCACUGCAGCUGGGUUCGGCCUACCUAAU
rnacentral:snRNA from 1 species